rnacentral:rRNA from 1 species
UACAGAGGUGGCAAGCGUUGUUCGGAAUUACUGGGCGUAAAGGGCGCGUAGGCGGUCCCAUAAGUCCUGUGUGAAAUCCCCCGGCUCAACUGGGGAAUUGCACGGGAAACUGCGGGGCUUGAGUUCGGGAGAGGGAAGCGGAAUUCCGGGUGUAGCGGUGAAAUGCGUAGAUAUCGUAAGGAAGACCAGUGGCGAAGGCGGGUCUCUGGACAGUUCCUGACGCUGAGGCACGAAGGUCAGGGGAGCAAACGGG